CACGUAGUUAGCCGGUGCUUAUUCUUACGGUACCGUCAUGGACCCUCUUUAUUAGAGAGAGUCUUUUCGUUCCGUACAAAAGUAGUUUACAACCCGAGGGCCUUCAUCCUACACGCGGCAUUGCUGGAUCAGGCUUUCGCCCAUUGUCCAAAAUUCCCCACUGCUGCCUCCCGUAGGAGUCUGGGCCGUGUCUCAGUCCCAGUGUGGCUGGUCGUCCUCUCAGACCAGCUACAGAUCGUCGGCUUGGUAAGCUUUUAUCCCACCAACUACCUAAUCUGCCAUCAGCCGCUCUAGUAGCGCAAGGCCCGAAGGUCCCCUGCUUUCAUCCUUAGAUCUCAUGCGGUAUUAGCUACUCUUUCGAGUAGUUAUCCCCCAUACUAGGCACGUUCCGAUGUGUUACUCACCCGUUCGCCACUCGUCAGCAUCCGAAGACCUGUACCGUUCGACUUGCAUGUGUAAAGCAUGCCGCCAGCGUUCAAUCUGAGCCAGGAUCAAACU
rnacentral:rRNA from 1 species